UACGUAGGGUGCAAGCGUUGUCCGGAUUUAUUGGGCGUAAAGAGCUCGUAGGCGGCUUAGUAAGUCGGGUGUGAAACCUCCAGGCUCAACCUGGAGACGCCACCCGAUACUGCUGUGGCUAGAGUCCGGUAGGGGAGCGUGGAAUUCCUGGUGUAGCGGUGAAAUGCGCAGAUAUCAGGAGGAACACCAGCGGCGAAGGCGGCGCUCUGGGCCGGUACUGACGCUGAGGAGCGAAAGCGUGGGGAGCAAACAGG
rnacentral:rRNA from 1 species